rnacentral:rRNA from 1 species
GACGAACGCUGGCGGCGUGCUUAACACAUGCAAGUCGAACGGUAAGGCCCUGCUUUUGUGGGGUGCUCGAGUGGCGAACGGGUGAGUAACACGUGAGUAACCUGCCCUUGACUUUGGGAUAACUUCAGGAAACUGGGGCUAAUACCGGAUAGGAGCUCCUGCUGCAUGGUGGGGGUUGGAAAGUUUCGGCGGUUGGGGAUGGACUCGCGGCUUAUCAGCUUGUUGGUGGGGUAGUGGCUUACCAAGGCUUUGACGGGUAGCCGGCCUGAGAGGGUGACCGGCCAUAUUGGGACUGAGAUACGGCCCAGAUUCCUACGGGAGGCAGCAGUGGGGAAUAUUGCACAAUGGGCGGAAGCCUGAUGCAGCAACGCCGCGUGCGGGAUGACGGCCUUCGGGUUGUAAACCGCUUUCGCCUGUGACGAAGCGUGAGUGACGGUAAUGGGUAAAGAAGCACCGGCUAACUACGUG